GAAAGGCUUGUGCGGGGUCUGGCGCACCUUCUCCAGGAAGCCAUGCAGGAUGGUGCGCACCGGUCGGCGCCGCUCGCAGCUGCGCGCCCGCCGGGCCACGCCGGCCACCCGCAGGAAGUAGCCCAGGUCCUGGAAGAGGAAUAGUCUGACCACAGGUGGGAAACACACCUACAAGGUUAUCCAUCACAGCUGACAGAAGAGUGGAACAAUGUGAUGCCUGGAGACCAACAUCCCUGGACCCUCUCCUUACUGUCCGUUUUCUCUAUAUAAUUGCCUUAAGAUUCUGUAAUCCUGGAAGAUGGUUUUUUUGAGACAUCUUCCUGAUUAUGCCAGCUAAUUGAAUUAAAACUUACCUUUCUUGAUUCCUA